UACGUAGGCAGCGAGCGUUGUUCGGAAUUACUGGGCGUAAAGAGUGUGUAGGCGGUGUUCCCAGUCUGUUGUGAAAUCUCCCGGCUUAACUGGGAGGGUGCAGCGGAAACUAGAAUGCUAGAGGGUGGGAGAGGUAAGCGGAAUUCCUGGUGUAGCGGUGAAAUGCGUAGAUAUCCGGAGGAACACCAGUGGCGAAAGCGGCCACCUGGACUGCACCUGACGCUGACACGCGAAAGCUAGGGGAGCGAACGGG
rnacentral:rRNA from 1 species